rnacentral:lncRNA from 1 species
CCAAAAAUCACGCGUUUUCUCUUCGGAAAUUCCCCAUUUAAGCAAAAAUCACGCGUUUUCUCUUCGACAAUCCCCCAUUUAACCAAAAAAUCACGCGUUUUCUCUUCGGAAAUUCCCCAUAUAAGCAAAAAUCACGCGUUUUCUCUUCGACAAUCCCCCAUUUAACCCAAAAAUCACGCAUUUUCUCUUCACAAAUCCCCCAUUUAAACCCGAAAAUCACGCGUUUUCUCUUCGAGAAUCCCCCAUUUUACCCGAAAAUCACGCGCUUCCUAUUCGCAAAUCCUACAUUUAAGUGAAAAUCACGCGUUUUCUCUUCGAGAAUCCCCCAUUUGACCCAAAAAUCACGCGUUUUCUCUUCGGAAAUUCCCCAUUUAACCCGAAAAUCACGCGUUUUCUCUUCGACAAUCCCCCAUUUAACCAAAAAAUCACGCAUUUUCUCUUCACAAAUCCCCCAUUUAAACCCGAAAAUCACGCGUUUUCUCUUCGAGAAUCCCCCAUUUUAGUGAAAAUCACGUGUUUUCUCUUCAAGAAUCCCCCAUUUAACCCGAAAAUCACGCGUUUUCUCUUCAAGAACCCCCCAUUUA